rnacentral:ribozyme from 1 species
ACCAACGACAACAACAACAACAUCGACAGAAAAAUCAGCAACAAUCAAAUAAUGCUGGCGC